rnacentral:rRNA from 1 species
UACGUAGGUGGCAAGCGUUGUCCGGAAUUAUUGGGCGUAAAGCGCGCGCAGGCGGCCUUUUAAGUCUGAUGUGAAAGCCCCCGGCUUAACCGGGGAGGGUCAUUGGAAACUGGGAGGCUUGAGUGCAGAAGAGGAAAGUGGAAUUCCAAGUGUAGCGGUGAAAUGCGUAGAGAUUUGGAGGAACACCAGUGGCGAAGGCGACUUUCUGGUCUGUUACUGACGCUGAGGCGCGAAAGCGUGGGGAGCAAACAGGAUUAGAAACCCCCGUAGUCC